GGAAAUGUAACUUAGUUGAUAGAGUGCUUGCCUAGUAUGCAAUGAAAACCUGGGUUCGAGCCCCAGCAAUGCAU
rnacentral:tRNA from 1 species